rnacentral:rRNA from 1 species
UGCCUUAGUAACGGCGAGUGAAGCGGCAACAGCUCAAAUUUGAAAGCUGGCCCUUUCAGGGUCCGCAUUGUAAUUUGUAGAGGAUGAUUCGGCGAGGGCUCCCGCCUAAGUCCCCUGGAACGGGGCGUCAUAGAGGGUGAGAAUCCCGUAUGCGGUGGGCUGCCUUAGCCAUGUGAAUCUCCUUCGACGAGUCGAGUUGUUUGGGAAUGCAGCUCUAAAUGGGAGGUAAAUUUCUUCUAAAGCUAAAUACCGGCCAGAGACCGAUAGCGCACAAGUAGAGUGAUCGAAAGAUGAAAAGCACUUUGGAAAGAGAGUUAAAAAGUACGUGAAAUUGUUGAAAGGGAAGCGCUUGCAACCAGACUUGUCCGCAGUUGCUCAGCCGGUCUCCUGACCGGCGUACUCUUCUGCGGCCAGGCCAGCAUCAGUUCGGGCGGUCGGAUAAAGACCUCGGGAAUGUAGCUCCUCUCGGGGAGUGUUAUAGCCCGGGGUGGAAUGCGGCCAGCCUGGACUGAGGAUCUCGCUUCGGCAAGGAUGCUGGCGUAAUGGUUGUAAGCGGCCCGUCUUGAAACACGGACCAAGGAGUCUAACAUCUAUGCGAGUGUUUGGGUGUCAAACCCAUACGCGUAAUGAAAGUGAACGGAGGUGGGAACCCGCAAGGGUGCACCAUCGGCCGAUCCUGAUGUCUUCGGAUGGAUUUGAGCAAGAGCAUAGCUGUUGGGACCCGAAAGAUGGUGAACUAUGCCUGAAUAGGGUGAAGCCAGAGGAAACUCUGGUGGAGGCUCGCAGCGGUUCUGACGUGCAAAUCGAUCGUCAAAUUUGGGUAUAGGGGCGAAAGACUAAUCGAACCAU